rnacentral:rRNA from 1 species
UUCUUCGGAGAGUUUGAUCCUGGCUCAGGACGAACGCUGGCGGCGUGCCUAAUACAUGCAAGUCGAGCGAAUCGAUGGGAGCUUGCUCCCUGAGAUUAG